CCUGUGAAACCUAAAAGUUCGAAAAGAGAGAUUCAGCGUCAGUCUGUACAGUAUUCACGAGAGUAGUGAUGUUGGUUAUUUUGGUCGGGUCAAACCUUCCGAUAUUAACUAGCACAUUUUCUUGUUAUUUUAUUGCUGUACCAUUUCCGGCGUGCACUUCUCUCUUAGUAGGACGUCCCGACCCAUUGAGUCUUAGCCUACGGCCCAUCUGGUAGCCUUCAAUAUUUUAUAUUGAAGACCUUUUGGUGUUCUCCUGGCCUAAGUACUCGAUGGUAGUAAACGACAUAGUGUUGAGCCGCAAUUAAUUUUGCGUCCGGCCUUCCGCAAGUUUAAUGACAAAUUCUGUACAUCAUAGACUUUGUGCUAUGUGUAUGGUUUUGUUGGCUGUUUGCAUGGUUGUGCUUUAGGACCGGCUUUUUCGCUUGUCAGGGACGCUUAGGCUUUGGGUACUCACGGGACCCGUCUUGAAACACGGACCAAGGAGUCUAACAUGUACGCGAGUCAUUGGGUAUAUAUUUUCCUUCGGGAACCUAUAUAAAACAAACCUAAAGGCGAAAUAAAAGUAAAGGUUGAA
rnacentral:rRNA from 1 species